AUUGAACGCUGGCGGCAGGCCUAACACAUGCAAGUCGAACGAGUGGCGGACGGGUGUGUAAUGUCUGGGAAACUGCCUUAUGGCUGGGGAUAACUCCUGGAAACGGUAGCUAUUACCGCAUACCAUCGGAUGUGCCCAGAUGGGAUUAGCGAGUAGGUGGGGUAAAGGCUCACCUAGGCAACGAUCCCUAGCUGGUCUGAGAGGAAGACCAGCCACACUGGAACUGAGACACGGUCCAGACUCCUACGGGAGGCAGCAGUGGGGAAUAUUGCACAAUGGGCGCAAGCCUGAUGCAGCCAUGCCGCGUGUAUGAAGAAGGCCUUCGGGUUGUAAAGUACUUUCAGCGGGGAGGCGUUACCCGCAGAAGAAGCACCGGCUAACUCCGUGCCAGCAGCCGCGGUAAUUC
rnacentral:rRNA from 1 species